rnacentral:tRNA from 1 species
GGGCCCGUAGCUCAGUUGGUUAGAGCAACGCGUUUACACCGCGUAGGUCGCCGGUUCGAGUCCGACCGGGCCCA